AGCUCUGAGAGAGGAGCCUUAGCCCUGGAUUUCAAGGCAUUUCCACGGGGUGACCAGCCCUGAACACAGAGGACUCACCAUGGAGUUGGGGCUGAGCUGGGUUUUCCUUGUUGCUAUUUUAGAAGGUGUCCAGUGUGAGGUGCAGCUGGCGGAGUCUGGGGGAGGCUUGGUCCAGCCUGGCGGGUCCCUGAGACUCUCCUGUGCAGCCUCCGGAUUCACCUUCAGUGGCUACGAAAUGCACUGGGUCCGCCAGGCUCCAGGGAAGGGGCUGGAGUCCGUCUCAGUUAUCGGUGGUGAUAGUAGUUACACACACUACGCAGACUCUGUGAAGGGCCGAUUCACCAUCUCCAGAGACAACGCCAAGAACUCGCUGUCUCUGCAAAUGAACAGCCUGAGAGCCGCGGACACGGCCGUGUAUUACUGUGCGAGAGACACAGUGAGGGGAGGUGAGUACCUAUUUUACCUUCUUGACAAGCAAAAUAUUCCAAGACUUCUCACCAUCCCUUGA